CUUGCGCCAACCCUAGAGAUAGGGCGUGUCCUUCGGGAACGCAAUGACAGGUGGUGCAUGGUCGUCGUCAGCUCGUGUCGUGAGAUGUUGGGUUAAGUCCCGCAACGAGCGCAACCCUUGUUACUAGUUGCCAGCAUUAAGUUGGGCACUCUAGUGAGACUGCCGGUGACAAACCGGAGGAAGGUGGGGACGACGUCAGAUCAUCAUGCCCCUUAUGACCUGGGCUACACACGUGCUACAAUGGACGGUACAACGAGUCGCGAACUCGCGAGGGCAAGCAAAUCUCUUAAAACCGUUCUCAGUUCGGACUGCAGGCUGCAACUCGCCUGCACGAAGUCGGAAUCGCUAGUAAUCGCGGAUCAGCAUGCCGCGGUGAAUACGUUCCCGGGUCUUGUACACAC
rnacentral:rRNA from 2 species